rnacentral:rRNA from 1 species
ACAUGAGUAACGAUAAAGGGGGUGAAAAACCUCCUCGCCGGAAGACCAAGGGUUCCUGUCCAACGUUAAUCGGGGCAGGGUAAGUCGACCCCUAAGGCGAGGCCGAAAGGCGUAGUCGAUGGGAAACGGGUUAAUAUUCCCGUACUUCUUACAAUUGCGAUGGGGGGACGGAGAAGGCUAGGUGGGCCUGGCGACGGUUGUCCAGGUUCAAGUGCGUAGGCUU